AUUCCAGCUCCAAUAGCGUAUAUUAAAGUUGUUGUGGUUAAAAAGCUCGUAGUUGGAUCUCGGCGGUCUGAGGGCGGUUCGCUUCAGAGCGCUACUGCCCUAUAGACCGUAGUUUUGCCAGAGGUCUCAGGGUGCUCUUAACCGAGUGUCUUGCGAUGCUGGCAGGUUUACUUUGAAAAAAUUAGAGUGCUCAAAGCAGGCUUUUACGCCUGAAUAUUCGUGCAUGGAAUAAUAGAAUAGGUAGUCGUUUCUAUUUUGUUGGUUUUCGGAAAUCGACUUAAUGAUUAAUAGGGACAGUCGGGGGCAUUUGUAUUCAAACGACAGAGGUGAAAUUCUUGGAUUUGCGGUAGACGAACUACUGCGAAAGCAUUUACCAAGGAUGUUUUCAUCA
rnacentral:rRNA from 1 species